UGUUUAUUUUGGGUGUUUUACUGCAGUUUUUGGUGUUGAUUUUGGGUGUUUAAUAGCUUUUUUUGGUGUUUAUUUUGGGCGUUUUACUGCAGUUUUUGGUGUUGAUUUUGGGUGUUUUACUGCAGUUUUUGGUGUUGAUUUUGGGUGUUUAAUUGCAUUUUUUUGGUGUUUAUUUGUAGUUUUUUGAGUAUUUAACUGUAAUGUUUUGCUGUUUAUUUUGGGUGUUUUACUGCCGUUUUUUGCCGUUUAUUCACAAUUUUCCGUCUGCGCCCCAUCUCCAUCUCCACCUCCCCUCCCAACCCUUCCGCCAAAACUCCGGGCGGGAUCAAAAUCCACAUUUUCUUCAAUAUUCUCCCAGAUCGACCCAAAACCUUUCCUAAAAUAAACCCGGAGAGUUCUCAACCCUGGGAUGCGUCAGCGCCGCUGAGGGAAUUGCGCUUCCCGCUGUGUCCCGCCUGCUUUUCCCGGGAAAGCGCCGAGCCCGGGGCUGCGAUCGUGGCAGCCUCGCCUCACCCGAAGAAAAAAGAGGGAUGUGGCUCGGCGAUUCCUCGAAUUCCCAGGUGAAGGCGGGGAAAAAUCCCGUGAAAAAGAACAGGAUCGUUUGGGAAGCAGGAGGCUGCAGCAAAGUUUGAUCACGAUGGGCUCUGCUCCUCUCUCCUGGGACCCGCUGCGGGCGGGCGGUGCCGGAACAUUCCCGAUUCCCGCAGGGAUGAGACAAUGGCGGCACCCUUGGAGAUACUCCGGGAUCACAACCCCAGCCCGACGGGAUCUGCUGGGAGAGGGGAGCUCCUCCCUGGUGGUGUCACC